rnacentral:lncRNA from 1 species
UCAUUGAGCAUCCUUUUCAAUUUCAUUGUCACUUGUUGUCAUCUUCAUCUACUCCGUGAAUAUUACAACAAGUUGUCGUUUCAUCCAAACAAAUAAAACCGGUCCCAGUUUCAGAAGAUCUUUUGAACUGCCAAGCUUUCUUUUGUCUUGUUCCCCCCUCCAAAUCCUUUUUUCCUCAUACAAAAGAGUCUAUAAAGUCUCCAUUAGUUUAGAACUAGUGACUACUACUGUACAUAUUCUAUGUAAGAUUUGUAGGUUGGGCUAAGGUGGGUUUAGUAAUUUCCUUACACAUAUCCGCGGCUGCAUACAAAACUAUACCAAAUGAAGACGAGUUGGGGCCUAUUAGAAUCUGUCCACAGAAAAACAAUGAAUCCAUCAAUCAGAGUGGAUUUAGCAAGCAAAUAUCAAGCAUAGUUCAAAAGUUCAUGAACUCACCAGGAGUCCAAGACAAAAAGUAAAUAUUCAUUGGGAUGGCUUUCUUGAAUUAAGCCCAACUCUACAUGUCAUUGGCAUCAACCUGGGUAUAAGAAAAAGAAAUGACAUGUAUACUUGUUUGUUGAAGAACUUUUAAGCACAUAAAGGCAAUAGACUGAGAGAACAGGAAAAAAAAAGUUAAAGAAGAUUAUGCAUGAUAGGGAAUAGAGAUUGGUGUAUUGAAGGAGAAAGCAGCCCAAAAAAAGGUUGAUGUGAAGUGAAAGUUGCUC